rnacentral:rRNA from 1 species
UACGUAGGGUGCAAGCGUUGUCCGGAAUUAUUGGGCGUAAAGAGCUCGUAGGCGACCUGUCGCGUCGGCUGUGAAAACCCGGGGCUCAACCCCGGGCCUGCAGUCGAUACGGGCAGGCUAGAGUCCGGCAGGGGAGACUGGAAUUCCUGGUGUAGCGGUGAAAUGCGCAGAUAUCAGGAGGAACACCGGUGGCGAAGGCGGGUCUCUGGGCCGGAACUGACGCUAAGGAGCGAAAGCGUGGGGAGCGAACAGG